UCAUCACCCUGCACCGGAAUUUAUCCGGCGACUAGAAAAAAACGACGCGGGAAAAAGAAUGGAUCUCCCAGGGAUUAAUCGGGCGGAAGUAGAAGUGGGGUAAAGGGAUAAGGAGCGCUUUUCUUUCCUCAUCCCCGUCGCGCCGGAAGAUGGUCGGCGGGAGUGAGUCACGUGGUGCGGGAGCGUCUGCUGAGGAAGAAGGAGGUUGGCCGGGGCCGAGCUCGGCUUUACGGGCCGGUGCCUCGGGAAUGGCAGGAGUUAAUUAUCCUAACAUUAAGUAGCAUUGGUGGCUUGGAGCCGCCGAGGUCACACCAUUUGGGGCGAGGACUAGGGCAGUUGCCUUCUCCAGCGCAGGCCUCCUUGCUCAGUGUACGUACACACAACCCUAUAUAGUUCACGGAGCGAUUUACUUCCGGAAAUAGAGAAGCCUAGAAUAAUCUGUACCCAGUGCACAGAAUAAAAUCCAGGAUUACAAAGCCGAAGAGGGACAUUGGUCUCUACGAGCCAGCUGUGAAUGAACAUUUUUGCCUGCUGUUGCAGAUUCCCGAAACAUUCCCCGGCUCCCACACCCCCUUCGCUUCACUCAAAUCCAUCUAAAACCCCGUCUUCUAUAAGAUCUCCCUUAAUGCUAGUGCCCUCUCUCUACUGAUGAACCGUCUGAAAGAGAUUUUUUGGUUUUAUCUCAGUUUUCUCAACUGUAUGAGGAUCAAAUAAAAUGUAAAACACUCAGUACAUAAAUACUAUUACUGUUUACUGACUGACUUGGAACUCCAGGUUGUGAACCCCUACAAUUAAAAAAAAAAAAAAAAAAAAAA